rnacentral:tRNA from 1 species
UCCGGCUUAGCUCAGUUGGUAGAGCAGGCGGCUGUUAACCGCCUUGUCACUGGUUCGAGUCCAGUAGCCGGAGCCA